rnacentral:rRNA from 1 species
UUCGCAAUGCCCGAAAGGGUGACGAAGCGACGCCGCGUGUGGGAAGAAGGCCUUCGGGUUGUAAACCACUGUCGGGAGUUAGGAAGUGUGGGGGUGUUAAUAGCGCCUCUACUUGACUAAGGCUCCGGAGGAAGCCACGGCUAACUCUGUGCCAGCAGCCGCGGUAAUACAGAGGCGGCAAGCGUUGUUCGGAAUUAUUGGGCGUAAAGGGCACGUAGGCGGCCUCGUAAGUCAGUUGUGAAAGCCUUCUGCUUAACGGGAGAACAGCAUCUGAUACUGCGAGGCUAGAGUGCGGGAGGGGAGGGUGGAACUUCUGGUGGAGCGGUGAAAUACGUAGAUAUCAGAAGGAACACCGGCGGCGAAAGCGACUCUCUGGCCCGUAACUGACGCUGAGUGUGCGAAAGCUAGGGGAGCAAACGGGAUUAGAUACCCCGGUAGUCCUAGCCGUAAACGAUGGGCACUAAGUAGAGGGGUUUU